GUUUGAGUUUGUAUUUUUGUAUCAUGUAUCAUCGUUUCAUUUCAAUUGUCGUCUAUUUUGGAUUCAUUUGGAUUUUGUUUGCUGUUUUUGUGUAUUUUUUAAAACUUUUGUUUGUCAUUUGUGAACUUUAUUAACUUAACACAAUGCAAAGUGAUUAUUUAAUGAAAUUAUUAUUGGAACCUCCAGAUGUUGGAGAAAGAUAUUGAUUGAAGCUGAAAAUAAUUGGACAUUUAGAUAUUCCACCAAUUACUAUUAAAAUGCUAUUAUAGAUAUCUGGUGGAGUCUCACAGUUACUACUUUAAACAGCAGAUGAAAGCAUACAAAAGCCUUCAGGCACAUAAGAGCCUUUACAACUGGGUUUGUUUUGUAAGUUGGAGUAAAAAUUGUUAAUGAUUUCUAUAUUAUUGUUGGAAAGGUGAAGCAUUCCCAAAAAGCUAACGCUAAACCACUAGAAGCUUGGGUGAUAGCCAGUUCCAAUGGCAUAGCAAAUGCACAUAAUAUGUGUAUGGCCGGUAAUAGUGAAGUUUGAAGCCAUAUUGCAGCAAUCUUAUUUGCAGCUGAGUAUGCCCACAGCAAGACAGAAGAAGAAGAACCCAAUGAAUGUACAGAUGUUACAGCUAUGUACAUGGUUUGGAGAUAGCCAUAUAUGCAUUCUCUGAUGAAAAACUAAUGAAUUUUGAAACUGUUCGGUCAGAGUGCUUGUUGCACUCUCUAAACGAACUGAAAUAUUAUACGGCUUUCGCUUCAUGUUGCAUCGAUAUGAAAAUGGUUAUUCAUUUUUAAUUAUAAUGUACUUCUUCAUCAUGAGUAUUUAUGUAUUAGUCUUUUAAGUGUGUAUUAUCAGAUAUCACAUGUAUAAAUUGUUUUUAUCAUUUUAAUUUGGUCAUUGCAGUUCCUUAAUCAAAAAAUAUAUUUUUCAGGUGUCUGUAGAUCUUUUUGUAUGCAAAAAUAUGUAAUAAUUAUUUGGAAUCAAUUUGAGGAUUAUAAGAGUAUGGAAAUAUAUGUGAGAACACAGACUAUUA
rnacentral:lncRNA from 1 species